GUGAGGAAUAUUGCGCAAUGGAGGCAACUCUGACGCAGCCAUGCCGCGUGCAGGAAGAAGGCGCUACGCGUUGUAAACUGCUUUUAACCGGGAAGAAACCCCAGGACGUGUCCUGGGUUGACGGUACCGGAGGAAUAAGCACCGGCUAACUUCGUGCCAGCAGCCGCGGUAAUACGAAGGGUGCAAGCGUUAUCCGGAUUCAUUGGGUUUAAAGGGUGCGUAGGCGGAGAGUUAAGUCAGUGGUGAAAUCCUGCAGCUUUACUGUAGACUUGCCAUUGAAACUGGCGCUCUUGAGUGCGCUUAAAGUGGGCGGAAUGUGCCGUGUAGCGGUGAAAUGCUUAGAUAUGGCACAGAACACCAAUUGCGAAGGCAGCUCACUAAGGCGAUACUGACGCUGAGGCACGAAAGCGUGGGGAUCGAACAGGAUUAGAAACCCGGGUAGUCC
rnacentral:rRNA from 1 species